rnacentral:rRNA from 1 species
UACGUAGGGGGCGAGCGUUGUCCGGAUUUAUUGGGCGUAAAGAGCGUGUAGGCGGCCAGGUAGGUCUGCUGUGAAAACUCGAGGCUCAACCUCGAGACGUCGGCGGAAACCAUCUGGCUAGAGUCCGGAAGAGGAGAGUGGAAUUCCUGGUGUAGCGGUGAAAUGCGCAGAUAUCAGGAAGAACACCUAUUGCGAAGGCAGCUUACUACGCCUAUAUUGACGCUGAGGCACGAAAGCGUGGGGAUCAAACAGG